rnacentral:rRNA from 1 species
GAUGAACGCUGGCGGCGUGCCUAAUACAUGCAAGUAGAACGCUGAAGGAGGAGCUUGCUCUUCUGGAUGAGUUGCGAACGGGUGAGUAACGCGUAGGUAACCUGCCUGGUAGCGGGGGAUAACUAUUGGAAACGAUAGCUAAUACCGCAUGACAACAGUUAUUGCAUGAUAACUGUUUAAAAGGGGCAACUGCUCCACUACCAGAUGGACCUGCGUUGUAUUAGCUAGUUGGUGAGGUAACGGCUCACCAAGGCGACGAUACAUAGCCGACCUGAGGGGGGGAUCGGCCACACGGGGACUGAGACAGGCCCCAAACUCCUCCGGGGGGCAGCGGUAGGGAAUCUGCGGCAAUGGAGGGAAGUCUGACCGAGAAACCCCGGGGGAGGGAAGAAGGUGUUGGGAUCGUAAAGCUCUUUUUUAAGGGAAAAACGGGUGGGGGGGUGGAAAUUUCCCCCUGGGCCGUUAUUGUACCAGAAAGGGACGGUAAAUUCCGU